AAGGCUUUAGCUUAAUUAAAGUAUCUGGUUUGCAUCCAGGAGAUGUGAGUUAGUAUCUCGCAAGUCUUA
rnacentral:tRNA from 1 species